GAACGCUGGCGGCAGGCCUAACACAUGCAAGUCGAGCGGUAACAUUUCUAGCUUGCUAGAAGAUGACGAGCGGCGGACGGGUGAGUAACGCGUAGAAAUCUACCUAGUAGUGGGGGAUAGCCCAGAGAAAUUUGGAUUAAUACCGCAUACGCCCUACGGGGGAAAGCGGGGGAUCUUCGGACCUCGUGCUAUUAGAUGAGUCUGCGUCGGAUUAGCUUGUUGGUGAGGUAAUGGCUCACCAAGGCGACGAUCCGUAGCUGGUCUGAGAGGAUGACCAGCCACACUGGAACUGAGACACGGUCCAGACUCCUACGGGAGGCAGCAGUGGGGAAUAUUGCACAAUGGGCGCAAGCCUGAUGCAGCCAUGCCGCGUGUGUGAAGAAGGCCUUAGGGUUGUAAAGCACUUUCAGCGGUGAGGAAAGGGGUGUCGUUAAUAGCGCCAUCCUGUGACGUUAACUGCAGAAGAAGGACCGGCUAACUCCGUG
rnacentral:rRNA from 1 species